UGGGGAAUUUUGGACAAUGGGCGAAAGCCUGAUCCAGCCAUGCCGCGUGAGUGAAGAAGGCCUUCGGGUUGUAAAGCUCUUUUAGUCGGAAAGAAAGAGUUGCAAUGAAUAAUUGUGAUUUAUGACGGUACCGACAGAAAAAGCACCGGCUAACUACGUGCCAGCAGCCGCGGUAAUACGUAGGGUGCGAGCGUUAAUCGGAAUUACUGGGCGUAACGCGUGCGCAGGCGGUUUUGUAAGACGGAUGUGAAAUCCCCGGGCUUAACCUGGGAACUUCAUUCGUGACUGCAAGGCUAGAGUAUGGCAGAGGGGGGUAGAAUUCCACGUGUAGCAGUGAAAUGCGUAGAGAUGUGGAGGAAUACCGAUGGCGAAGGCAGCCCCCUGGGCCAAUACUGACGCUCAUGCACGAAAGCGUGGGGAGCAAACA
rnacentral:rRNA from 1 species